GUGACUAACACUUACUUACACUAAAAUUAGAACAAUACAGAGAAGAUUAUUAGCAUGGCCCCUGGGCAAGGAUGACAUGCAAACAUGUGAUGUGAUAAGUAUUUCU
ensembl:snRNA U6 U6 spliceosomal RNA